CUCCUUCGUAGAACCGUGUUUUCACGCUAUUAGACCCCGUAACCGGUGCCAAGAGUUCGUAUACGGCGUGAGGAAGUUCUCGUGUGUUCGUUUUCCUAAUUCUGUAGUUCAGUUUCAGUAAUUAUAUAGUCCCUGAUUUAUAGCCAUGGCUCCACCAUGUUACGCAGACCUUG